UACGUAGGGGGCUAGCGUUGUCCGGAAUCAUUGGGCGUAAAGAGCGUGUAGGCGGCCCGGUAAGUCCGCUGUGAAAGUCGGGGGCUCAACCCUCGAAUGCCGGUGGAUACUGUCGGGCUAGAGUGCGGAAGAGGCGAGUGGAAUUCCUGGUGUAGCGGUGAAAUGCGCAGAUAUCAGGAGGAACACCGGUGGCGAAGGCGGCAUCCUGGACCGGCAUUGACGCUGAGGAGCGAAAGCCAGGGGAGCAAACGGG
rnacentral:rRNA from 1 species